UACGUAGGGUGCAAGCGUUAAUCGGAAUUACUGGGCGUAAAGCGUGCGCAGGCGGUGAUGUAAGACAGAUGUGAAAUCCCCGGGCUCAACCUGGGAACUGCAUUUGUGACUGCAUCGCUGGAGUGCGGCAGAGGGGGAUGGAAUUCCACGUGUAGCAGUGAAAUGCGUAGAGAUGUGGAGGAACACCGAUGGCGAAGGCAGCCCCCUGGGCCAAUACUGACGCUCAUGCACGAAAGCGUGGGGAGCAAACAGG
rnacentral:rRNA from 1 species